ACGUGUUUGCCUCAUCCUACGAUGAUGAUAAAAACAAAGCGGAAGUUCAAACGAUCUCGUUUAUUGUCCUCUGCGUUAUGGCAUUUGUGAUGGCCUUGGCAAUCGCCUUCUUCUUCUUUGCGCUGUGGAUCCUAAAGGGGACUCUGAGGGCGGUGGAACAGGAACUCGGCAAAACUCACUUUGCAUUGACGACUCCAGAAAAGAAGGGAUUGGAAGUGUGAUCGGGUUGAUAACAUUCUACCUUUUUGAGAUAUUGUGCCCAACGUCUUCUCACUUUACGAUGGUCUGCUUACUUUAAGAUGUUAUCUAUGAUUGAUAUCUUCGAAAAGUAAUAAAAAAAUAAAAUAUCUUAUUCCAUCACGCUGCAAAUACAUUAGAUUUUUAUAUUGGAAAUCUAGGUAGAAAAAGUUUAAAGUGUAUUUCUACAUUAAAGUGAUUUUUAAGCUGCUAGAAAGUUGAAAAAAAUGGCAUCACUUGAAAGUAACAUUGCGAAAUAAAAAUCGUAAAAAAAACACGGAAUCAUGUAGUAAAUGAUGAAUUCUAGAGUUUGUUUUGAUUAGGUCGUUUGAACCAUUAUAAACAAAAGCUAUUGACUGUAAACGAUUGAUAAACAUGUAUUCUAUGUUAGAUAAAA